rnacentral:tRNA from 1 species
GCCCCGAUAGCUUAGUAGGAUAGAGCGCUUCCCUGCGAAGGAAGUAGUGGCCGUUCGAAUCGGCCUCGGGGCA